rnacentral:lncRNA from 1 species
GCGGGACCUGUGUGGUGAUAUCGCCUGGCCGGGCGCCCAGAGCGUGAGGAAUGCGCGUCAGCAAACUUCCAGCCACCCAGCAACUUGUCGGUACAGUAACUCCGGCAUUCGACCAGCGGCGCACUCCUGCCCUGCCGUUGCAAAUUGUUUGCCAUCUGCUGGGUUCUGGGAAUCAGCUGCACCCUACGGGACUUCACCAACCUGCCUUACCACUGUCCCAUCGCACAUCCAGUCCAGCGGGAAACAGGCUUGCGGCCCUACGGCCUUUGCCUAGGUGACCAGCACUCCGCGCAAAAUCCGGUCCGAGAUGCAGGGAGUCAAUAGCCAGGUACGGUAUCGUCUCGACCUGCCUUGUCUUAUCCCUGUGUACCGGUGAUGGCGGCGUAGAGCGGGCGCCUGGACAGACGCACGGUCACACGUCGGCCCGCAGCCUGCCGCGUGCUGGAAGCCAUGACUGCAAUGUGCUCAACUUGCCCCUGGCAGGUGCACCCGUGCAGCGCUUCAGC